rnacentral:misc_RNA from 1 species
UUUCAAUUAUUUCAUCCAUUUGAGUGAGUUCAAGUGAGUUUUUUAUGCUUAGAACUCAUCAAAAGCAAAUUUUUAAAACUGGACAUGAUGUUCGAUUUAAAAUUUGUUUUGAAAGUGUGCCACGGCGGAUUGAGAGCGCUAGUGAGGUUCGACUUCGACAAGGGUCGACCGAUUGUCGUUAGUCGCUGUGAAGUGUCUGCCAUGUUGAACUUUUAGGUGUUUUGGGGCGUAUUAAUCAUCGAAAGGCCUAUUACAAAAAUAUUCAACUGCACCUACUUAUUUUCGUUAGUUUAGUAUGUGAAAUCGUUGAAAAUAUUACGGUUUGUGGCUGUUUGAUGUGUGUUUCUGUGACAAAAACUGGAUCGAGAACCGGGGACUUGUGUUUUCACGGAGUGUUUCAUCAGAUGUACACAUGAUUGCGUAUUUCAAGUGUAAUGUAUUUGUUUCAUCACAUUUCUAACUCAUGUUAUUGCUUUGAAUUGAACAUUUGACGUGAUUGACGCUUCAGAAAUUAUGUUGACGAAUUUAUUACUGUUCGAUUGCCAUGCAGAAUUCACAUGUUUGAGGCGCCACUUUGUUAUUAUUUUGCUACAGUGUUUUUGACCCAAGUGGGCGAGUUUAUGUCUGAGCCUAUGUCUAGGGGGUGUGCGCGUAGCUUUGAUGGGCUGUGAAAACGAGGUCGGAUUCUUGCCUAGUUUUAAAUUGAACAGUUUUUAUUUAAUUUCGCAAUUGGCGCCUAAUAAUUUAAAAAAAUUCUAUUCAACUAGUGAAGUCAAUAAACUGUGACUACGACAAAGCUGUAAGUGAAAUUGAUACAGACGUCUAGCUUGUUUUGAUUGAUAGGUAGAACAAGUUUGAAGGUUAGGUGACCAGAAUUUUUGAAUAUUGACCACACAAGCGUUUUAGAAAAUUGAUGCUAGUUAGUAAAUACCAACUUAUCACAUAAUUUCCAAUUAAACUUGAAUGUUUGACACUUAUGUUGCCUAAUAGAAACGAAAGAAGACAGACACUGCCAUCAAGACUGAUGAAUGGACUUUUGUUUGUUUGUACAGACGAUUUAGAAGAAAGAUAAUGAAAAUUCUCAGUUACGUUAUUCUAUGUUAUGUAACAGGCUCUAUUGUUUUGAUUGAUAGAGUUGUUUGAGACAUAGCUAAUAAAUUCCCGCUCUUUGUGAGGUUAGUUGUGUUGUUUUUGUGGACUGUUUGAUUGAGUACUGAUAAGUUAGGUUAGGUGUUGAGUUCCAGUACUUGUUUUUGUGGACUGUUAAUAAGUUAGGUUAGGAGAGUUACAUUCUGAAGGUUGUAAUGGUACUUUGGAGUGGUUUUUGUGGACUGUUAUGUUAGGUGUGAUUAUUUGAUGGUAGUUUGGAGUGGAUUUAAGUGAGCCUGGAGCCGACGGGUGGGGGGACUGCAGAUGGUUCGUCGAUGGUGUUGUUGAAUGCUGAGUUGGCGUCGUCCGCCACUCGAGCCGCCUCAAUGGACAGCUCGGUGGCCGCCGCGCCGCCUAAGCGCAACUGCGACCUCUGGCGCAACAAAAAGCACGAACAACUGAUGCUCAUGGAGAAGCAGAAACCAAAAGUGACGGUGCUAACCGGAGGCAGCGGCGGCGGCAGCGUGACGGGGGCCGGUGAUGGUGGUGCCGGUGGCGGAGGGGCCGGGGGCCAUGCGCCCCUCUACGGUCGACUGGUGGCCGAGGAGUCUCUGGCCUCCCUGCAGGCAGCCGCGCUUCGCUCGGUGCCCGCGUCCGACAUCCAGGCCAUGCAGGCCAGGAUACCACACCAUUUCCGUAAUCCCGCUCAGGCGCCGUUACGGAAGCUCAGCGUCGACCUCAUCAAGACCUACAAGCAUAUUAACGAGGUGUACUAUGCGAAGAAGAAGCGACGCGCGCAGCAGACGCUGCAGGGGGAUGACAGCGCGGGGGGUGGACAGCACAAGAAGGAGAGGAAGGUGUACAAUGAUGGCUAUGACGAUGACAACCAUGACUACAUCAUCAAGAACGGAGAGAAGUUCCUCGACCGGUACGAGAUCGACUCGCUCAUCGGCAAGGGAUCCUUCGGACAGGUGGUGAAGGCAUACGACCACGAAGAACAGUGCCAUGUAGCGAUAAAGAUAAUCAAGAACAAGAAGCCCUUCCUCAACCAGGCCCAGAUCGAGGUCAAACUACUCGAAAUGAUGAACAAAGCCAAUGCUGAAAACAAGUAUUAUAUAGUGUACCUGAAGCGGCACUUUAUGUGGCGCAACCACCUCUGCCUGGUGUUCGAGCUGCUGUCCUACAAUUUGUAUGAUUUGUUGCGCAACACGAACUUCCGCGGCGUGUCGCUGAACCUGACGCGCAAGUUCGCGCAACAGCUGUGCACCGCGCUGCUCUUCCUGAGCACACCCGAGCUCAACAUAAUCCACUGCGACCUCAAGCCGGAGAACAUUCUGCUCUGCAACCCCAAGCGCAGCACCAUCAAGAUUGUCGACUUUGGCAGCUCCUGUCAGCUCGGCCGCCGCAUAUACCAGUACAUUCAGUCGAGGUUCUACCGAUCUCCGGAGGUGCUGCUGGGAAUUCCGUAUGACCUGGCCAUCGACAUGUGGAGUCUCGGCUGCAUCCUCGUCGAGAUGCACACUGGCGAACCCCUCUUCAGCGGAUCCAAUGAAGUGGACCAGAUGAACAAGAUUGUUGAAGUUCUGGGCAUGCCGCCGAAGCACCUGCUUGACUCGGCGCACAAGACGCGGCGCUACUUCGAGUACGUGUCGACGGGCGACGGCUACGACGGCUCCUAUGUGCUCAAGAAGUUCAAGGACAUGAAGAAGUACAAGCGGCCGGGCACGCGGCGUCUGCACGACAUCCUCGGCGUCGAGGUGGGGGGACCGGGAGGUCGUCGCAUAGGCGAGCCCGGCCACUCGCCGCAGGAGUACCUCAAAUUCAAGGACCUGAUCACGCGUAUGUUGGACUACGACCCAAAGACGCGAAUCACGCCGUUCUACGCGCUGCGGCACAACUUCUUCAAGCGAACGGCAGACGAGGCCACCAACACCACCACCUCCUCCUCCUCCACAUCGGCCACGGUCGGGGGAGGGGGCAGCACCAGUCCUACCCCCCUCUCCUCCUCCGCCUCGGCAUCGCUCCUUGUUGAACCGGUGCCUCCCAGCCAGGCGCAGUCAUCUAAUCAAUCAGGGGCAGCCGACCACAGUGAUGAAGAAAUAGAAAGAGCAAGCAGAGCUGGUACAUGCAAUAACCAAGAAGAUGAAGUAAAAGUCGAUCGCGAGACUGGAGAAAUAGUUGAAGAAAUGUUGGCAAAUACGAAAAUCAGUGAAGAAAAUGAAGAGAAUGAAGAACAUUUUGUUGCUAUCAAAGAUGAUGGACGACAAAAUGAGGAAAUAACUGCUAACGAAAUUGAUAAUAAUGUGAAGAAUGGUAAGAAGUCGAAUGAGAAUGCAGAGCAAGAUUACGAGAAAGAAGAAAAUAAUAAUGUGAAUAGGGGAAUUGAUAAAGAGGAUGAUGAGGUUAAAAAAAUAAUAGAAGAUGAAAGUUUAAAGAAAAUUCCAGUGAUGACAGAUUUCUAGUCGGUUAUUCUUCUGGGAAAGCUUCAAAAUGGGGGAAAAUAUUGGAAUCCGAGGGGGGCACGCCUAGGGGGCCUCGGCCACCAACCGAUGGACGUAGAGCCGUCGGCCUCCUGCUUCCCGUGCCACUACCACCUGCCGUCUCGGCCGCACUACCCGGGCGCCGCUAGGGGCGUCGCCUCCCAGGGGGCGUC